UGAAGGCAACGUGGGACACGGAUUUACACCGUCUAUCAUCUGAAUGGAAGAACAUAUUUAUAUCAGGAGUGGAGAUGAGGAUUUGAGUUUGUGUCCACUGUGGUUGUGAGAUCAGGGAGCUUUCUCAGUGAUACAUGCUUGCUGACAGUGCAGGAGGUUUUUGUACGGCCACUCAAUGAGUUUGUAUCACUGUGGUGGACUUUUGGUGGAGGAACCAAACUCAUCGUUCACUCGGGCUCCAUGCUCAGGCCCUCCGUCUCUCUGCUGGCCCCCUCCUCCUCUGAGCAGCUCUCUGGGGGCUCGCUCACGCUGGCCUGCCUGCUGACCGGCUACUCUCCUCAGGGAGCCGUGGUGAGCUGGGAGGUGGACGGCACACAGGUGACAGAGGGGGUCCUGAGCAGCUCGGAGGAGGAGAAGAGCGGACGCUACAGCAGCAGCAGCAGCCUGAGCCUGAGCCAGGAGAGCUGGAUGUCAGGAGAGCUGUACUCCUGCAAGGUCCUCCAUCAUGCCCACAGCCAGACCCAGUCCCUCCACAGGAGCCAGUGUGGGGGCUAGAGGGGCCGCUGGAGCCCAGGAGAACACAUGCUGCUCUGAUCAUCAGGAGCUUUAAUGUUUGUAGAGGAAAGUGAAGCUUUGUGUGGCCGAGAACAACACUGCUGUAAAGUGUUGGACAGCAGCAACUUAGAGAGUGAUGUGUGAAGCUCAGCAGAGAUGAGAGUGUGCUUAGUAACUGUCUUGUUGAUGAUUCAGGAUGUUCCUAAUAAAGCUUUCUCUGAUAAAUAACAUGA